AACGAACGCUGGCGGCAUGCCUAACACAUGCAAGUCGAACGGGAUCCUAGCUUGCUAGGUGAGAGUGGCGGACGGGUGAGUAACACGUGGGAAUCUGCCUUUUGGUUCGGGAUAACCGCGGGAAACUGCGGCUAAUACCGGAUGCUCCCGUGAGGGAAAAGAUUUAUCGCCAGAAGAGGAGCCCGCGUCCGAUUAGGUAGUUGGUAGGGUAAUGGCCUACCAAGCCAACGAUCGGUAGCUGGUCUGAGAGGAUGAUCAGCCACUCUGGGACUGAGAUACGGCCCAGACUCCUACGGGAGGCAGCAGUGGGGAAUAUUGGACAAUGGGGGCAACCCUGAUCCAGCAAUGCCGCGUGAGUGAUGAAGGCCUUAGGGUUGUAAAGCUCUUUUGCCAGGGAAGAUGAUGACUGUACCUGGAGAAUAAGCCCCGGCUAACUUCGUGCCAGCCGCCGCGGUAACAC
rnacentral:rRNA from 1 species